UCAUUGAUGGGGCAUCCCAACAUCUUUCUGCUGAGGAGAUCAAAAGCUGGGAGCAUCUCAUAGAUGGAUAGGAGUCGUUUGUCCCACUGACAUAGCUGUGUGAGGUUGUAUAUUAUCACUGGAACCAUUAGGGUGUAUAUUGCUACAGUGGAGAGACUAACAAUCUGGAAAACAGACAGGGAGGUCAGCCUGCAUGUGAUCAGAUCAGGGAUGUGAGUCUCAUCACUUAGCAGCCCAGUCUUGAUGGAACAGCUGAAUUCCUCUUGGAAGAAGACAUCCAGAUGGAAGUGGCCAAGGUACAGGUAGGUGGCUGAUGUGAAGAGGAGCAAGAGGGAGUUCCUCAGGAGGUAAGUAGCCACUAGUGAAUGUGAGCGCUGCUUACAUGCCAGGUACCGCUCUAGCAAGGGGAAUUCAAAGUAUCGUUCUUUCCGAGCCCUGAGCAGGGGAAGAAAAGAGGCAAGGUUAGGAGGGACCAUUUAGAACCAUUUCCUGAGAAAGCCCAUGUGGGGAAGUAACAGAAGCUGUGUAUCUGACAUGGCCUUCUCCACACACAUGAAAAUAUGCCUUCUCUGAGCACAACCACUCCUCUCCCCAAAAUGAAGUGUGUGUGUAUAUCUUAAUUCUCCAAGCAAUGAGUACAGUGUGGUUAAACCCAGUGAAUGAUCAAUGAAUAAUGAAUAGUCACAUGGAUUUCUGCCCAGCAGAACGGACUAUACCUCCAAGCUGAAGUAAGAUACGUAGGAAGCAAUAAGGCUUCUUAAAUUAGCGCUGAACUGGGAGUCUAAAUAACCACAUUCUGGUCCUUGGUCUGUAUACUCUGUGUAUGAUUUUUAGACCAAUUCAUCCAUUUCAUAAAAAUAAAUGUGCUAACAAGUAUUUGUUGAGAGCUGUAGUGUUUAGGUACAUAUAAGCCAGUCUCUGCUCUGAAGAAGCUUACAGACUGGCUUAUGGGGAAGGGGCAGAUAAGAUUUGCAAAUAUGAGAUAAAAAUAGCACUUGAUUUGUUGCUAAAAUGGUAGAUACAAACCAUGGUAGUUGUAAAAGUUAGGAGAGAAAGGUGAACACUGGGCUGGAGUGUUCAGAAACCUUUAUGGAGAAUGUUGUCUUAGAGUUGGCCUUCAAAAGGUAGAUACUGUUCAGAAAGAGAUAGGAAAGGAACUUUUCUCAGAGGAUGGAGUAGGUGCACAAACAUGAGAAAAUAUGUUUUCAAAUCUUAGCCCAAUUGUCCUCUUGGUGGGGCCUACCCUGGCUGCCCUAUUUAAAACUGUCCCCUUCCUCAGUCUUCCAGCUUCCCUGAGCCCCCUUACCCUGCUUUACAUUUUUUCCCUUCAUACCACUUGUCUUCUGCUGUAUGAUUUACUUAUGUCUUAUGCUUUGUUCAUUGUUUUCUCUCAAUAUGAUGUAAGCCCCACAUGAGUAGGUGUAUCUUUCCUCCUCCCCACCCCCAACCCCAACACACACACACAGACACACACAGACACACACACAUAUCAGAGGCACCCAGAACAGUGCCUGGCACUCAGUAAAUGAUGAAUGACUGCUUAAGUGAAUGAAUGGCUUGUUUAGGAGAAAAGGAAGAGACUACCUAGGUAGAGUGGAAGGGUUCUGUCACUUGCUAGUUAGAGAGAAGUUUGAAAACGUAGUUUGUGAUGCUGUGGAGGGCCUUGGAAAAAUAUUUGGGAGAAUGUGGAUAUUUUUCUGUAGGCAUGGGGGGAGAUAUUUGAGGUUUCUGAGCAGGGCAAUGGUAUAGGAAAGAAAGUGGCAUUUUAGAGAGAUUAAUCCCUUUGUGACUCAGUGUGUUCAUAUGUAAGAUAAGGGUAGAGUUCUUUCUCUUCUCUGAGUACAGAAAUGAUAGACAGUUAGUGAGAUGUGUUAAGCACUUUGAAUUCUUCAGAAAGAUGGUAUAGAGGAUAGUUUACUCUGCAAGGACAUCAUUUUAAUGCUGAGUCCUUCACAAAGGAGUGGAAGAGACAACUCACUUCUCCAGCUCAUCCCAGAAAACAUGGGGGUCCGAGCUCUUCUGCCGGAUCUUCACCAUGUGCUGCACCAGGCGGAUGGAACGAUUAUAGGAUUUGUCCAGUUCGCUGAUGAUGAACAGCAGAUCUGAGCUGAGGGCUGGCACAGCUGCAUACUGCCACAGCAGAACUGGGAGGUACAUGACCACAGCCAGGGCCAGCAUGGAGUAAGGGAGGGCCUGUAGGACAAGAGUGAGCUGAGGAGGGAGGCCCAGGGUCCUGGGAUCUUGUGGAGAGAGCUGUGAGAGAGGGGCUCUCAUUCCCUGGUUCCUGCCUCAGAGGGGGAAAGCAAUAUGGAGAAUGAGUACCGCAAGCCCAGGACCUAAGGCUGUCUACUAACCUGGCUGAAUAUAGUGAAGCCCAGGAAAGAAGGGAUAGUGGAUCUCCAUGCUCCCCAGCUCCACUCUUCAAAUGUGGGGUCUGUGUAGGUGUGUAGGGCUCUAGGAACAGGAGAGGGGGAGGGGGAGGGAGAGCUGUGCUCCCCAUUCCCUGUUCCUCAUGCAUGUUAGCCUGAGUAGCUAACUAGAGAUCAUGGGAUCUUAGGGGAGACCGUCUUCAUUCCCAAUUUUCCGCCUUUCUUUCUUUGACUGCUCCAGGUUCUUAUCCGCAGACAUUGAGAGUUCACUAGCUUUUAAAUUCCAGCCUGGGACCCCAACAUUGCUGAUUUUUACUUAGCUGCUCCAGAGAGGAGGUCAAAUCCUAUUUCCUUCCCUGACUCCUCUCAUGUGCAGUGGUCUUUUCUCAUUUCCAGAUUCUUGGUAAUACAAAACCACACCAUCAGGUACUAUCUUGGAAUUCUUUGGGGCUAUUUUGGUAAGUAUGUAUGUAAGCUGACAUUGAGGUAAACGUAAGUCUUGUGUCCUAACUAUACUAUUUGCUACUUGAGGUAAGGGACUUUUCUUUAUGUUUUCUCAUCCUACUUACUACACCUAAAAGGGCUGGGCCCACUAUUUUGCCCACAGUUAAAACUGCUUAUAAAGGUUUUUUUUAAAGCUACAUUUGUACUAGGUGUUUAACAUGCAUUAUUUCACUUGAUCUUCACAAUGGUGCUAUGAGGUAGGUACUGUUAGUAUCUGUUUUACAGAUGAAGAAACUGAAGCAUGAAAAGGUUAAGUAACCUGUACAGGGUUACACUUCUAGUGGGUGAGUGAGCAGGAUUUGGAAUGAGACAGUCUGAUUUUGGAGCUUAUUCCCUUGACAACUACUUGACUACAGCUUAUCCUGAGCCAGAGACACUUUUUAUUUUAGAGGAAUGUUUGAAGAAAAAGAGGGAGGAUGCAUAUUUGGUUGCAUCUAGAUAGAGGAGAAAGGGGUGUGUGUGUGUGCGCGUGUGUGUGUGUAUGUAUGUGUGUUUCCCAUCUAAACAAGAGAGACAGGUUAAGAAAGGUAUAUUAGGUCACGAGAGAAAAUUAGAACGUUUUCACUCCUUUCCAAGAAAUGACAUUUCUUGAAAAUAGACUCUUCACCCCUAAGGUUUCUGUUCCAGUAGGGUUGAAGUGCAGCAAGAGAAUCUGGGUGCAGAGAGCUCUCAGACAAUCCUACUGAUCAGAUGGUUUCACUCUUUUCUGACAUCUGAAUCCCCUCUGCAGUAUCUUGAACUUGUUGCUGUCUAGAUCCUGCUUAAACACUUCCAGUGACAGAGAUCUCAAGGACUCUUUCCACUAAGUCUCUGGUUUUGUCUAGGUCCUAGAACUGUAGCAUUCUGAGGCCUUGUAAAUUGUCAUACCUAGGGAGUGUUAUGAGUGACUUCUGAUUAAACAUUGUAAAUUGGGUGUACAUAUGACUUCUCCUCCCUCCUGAAGCCCCACUAGAAUGGCAAUAAAGGGAUCAAAAAGACAUACUCCUAUAAAGACAAAAUAGGAGAGGAGACGAGAACAACAAACUUGAAAACUGGAAAGCAGCUGCAUAAUAUAGAAGAUGCCAGCUAUUUUGCACCACAGAACCAGAAAGACUCAGGAAUUGGAGAUACCAGAUUAGCCCUGAGCUAACAUCUGCUGCCAAUCCUCCUCUUUUUGCUGAAGAAUACUGGCCCUGAGCUAACAACUGUGCCCAUCAACCUCUUCUUUAUAUGUGAGAUGCCUGCCAGAGCAUGACUUGAUAAGUGGUGUGUAGGUCUGUGUCCAGGAUCUAAACCGGCAAACCCGGGACUCCCCAAGCGGAAUGUGCCAACUUAACCACUGUGCCACCAGCAUGGCUUGACAGGUGGUGCAUAGGUCCACACCUGGGAUCCGAAUGGGCAAACCAUGGGCUACUGAAGCAGAACAUGUGAACUUAACCGCUGGACCACCGGGCUGGUCUCCAGAUAAGUUCAAUUUUUGAGAAAAUUGUCCAUUUUUCAUCCAGUGUGAAGAUUGUUUGCAUACUGUUAUUCAUAAAGUCCUCUUAUUAUAUUGUAACAAUAUUUUAUUAUAAAAAAUUAAAUAUACAUUAAAGUUGAAAGAAUUUUACAGUGAACAUCUGUAAUAGUUAAUUCUGUCAUUAAUAUUUUACUUGACUUGCUUUUUUUAUACUUCUGUCUAUCUAUCCUUCUAUCUAGCCUUCAAUUUGUGUUAUUUUUUUGGAUACAUUUCAAAGUAAAUUGUAGACAUUGAUAUACUUCUUCCUAAAUACUUCAGCAUGCACGUCACUAAUUGUACUUCAAUAUUUAUUCAUAGUUUGUUUCUUUUAAGGUAAAAUUUACAUACAAUGAAAUGCACAAAGCUUAAGUGUACAUACAGAGAUUUUGACAAAUGCAUAUACCUGUGAAAUCCGUACCUCAUCAAGAUUAGAACAUUAUCAUCAUUCCAGAAAAUUCCAUCUUAUUCUUGUUAAGAGAUCUUAAUUUUCUGGUGAAAAUCUCCGUGUUUUCAUCUAAUUCAUCUGUCUUCUAUUUUCUUGAUCAUAUCAAUCAGAGUUAUUUUAAAAUCCUAUUAUUAACUCCAGAAUUGGGGUAAUCUGUGAAUCUGCUUCUACUGUCUACUUUUUGUGUAUGGUCUUACAUAUUUGUCAUUUUGCCUUGUAUGCUGAACAUUGUGGAUAAAAGAACCAUAAGAACCAGAGAUCCUCUAGAUGAUGCUAUUGUAGAGGAGGAACAAAUACUCCUCUACCUUAAAGGUUCUUCUGGCUGGUCUAAGAAUGAAAUUGACAUAAGACAGAAUAACAGGAGGAAAUCAAACAAAUUUAAUAACAUGUAUACAUGGGAGAAGCCCAGGAAAACUGAGUAACUCGCCAAAAUGGCUGAAGCCACCACCCUAAAUACCAUUUUCAGCUAAAGACAAAAGAGGAUGUUGUGGGUAGUGAUUUGGAACUUCACAGUGGAGGCAGGCAAUUCACAUGGAGAUUGAAAAGCAAAUGUUUGGUAAACAAAUGUUUGCCAUAUCUUGCAAAGACAAUGUGACAUGAUGAGGACUUUGAUUAAAUGGGCCUUGCUAGGUUCCUCCCUGUCUGUCAUAUCUAAUUCACAUGGUACUAUGGUUAUAAAUAGUGAUAGCUCUUUCCUGGGACAGGCCUUCUGUCUUAAAUUCUUUUCGGCAGUUAGGGGGAAGGUCAAAGUUUCUUUCUGAGUCUUUUGUUCUUAAAAAUAAUCAAGCCCAAAAGACACAUUUUGGGGUGGUAAAUUCUGAUCCCCAACACUAUCUUUCACCAAAGAUGGCUCCCUUUUCUUCUUUUUAGCAUAUAGGGUGAGGGGGUAACCACUGGUUCCAGUCGGGCUCUAAACUGAGUUAGAUGUGUGCUGGAGUUUUAAUAAGAUUCAGUCUACAGUUAGUUUUACCCAUUCAUGCAGCCUGGUCUUUCCAGGUUUUUGAUUGAAGAGUCUGUUGGGUCUUUGUCUCUUAAGCUCUGAAAGUUUGUGAGAGGUUCUGUUAUCCUCUUUAGAGGAUUUCAGUUUAGCUCUUUGGCCUCCUUCUUUCUGUAGCUUCACACCCAGCAAAUGCUUUGAAAGAGUGACUGGCUCAGUGAGUCUCUAUCAGUGAGUUUAAUGCAGGCUCCCUCCCCCUGCAGUGACUUUGUUUCCUAAUCACCACAGAGUGCAGAAGAUCUCAUUUUGCAUUUUAGAAGCUUUGGUUCUGUCCACACAACCCCAGUACUCAUAAAUGUCCUGGGGAAAGACUGGUCAUGUGUUUGAAGUUGCUCAGAUUUCCAGUUGUCGCUCCACCCUUAUAACAACCACUAAAAGCUUUGAUGGUUUGUUUUUUCCCAGCAAAGGCCCUCUGCUUGGACCGAGACCAAUGGUGUGUUGGCACCCAGAAGCAGAAAAUUCCUCCGGGGCAAAAACUCCUGGAGAUUGUCAUCUUACACCAGAAUGGUUCUCUUCCCUCUGGAAUUUUAAUUCAUUUUGUCUUCAUUUCUUCCAUAGCUUCCAAUAUCCACAAAACAUAAUUUUUGUAACUAAUGUAACUUUUUCUAUUUGUUGCUGUAGGAGCAUUUGCCUGCCAAGACAUACUGCACUUUGCCCGAAAGUUUGUGCAUUAUAAUUUUAAUGUACAUAGGUGAUUUUGUAUUUUAUAUCUCAUUAUUUCUUACUUAUUUUUUUACUCUACCCUGUAGCUCUAAAGUAAAUCCAUGUUGCUAUGUUCACAGCUAAUCUGUUGUUUCUACUGCUGCAAAAUAUUUCAUUUUACCUACUCACUUGCCUGUUGAUGAAUGCUUGUACUCCUUGUACCACAAAAAACAUGUUUCCUCUUAUGGUCCUACAAGAUAAUUCAACAUGGGUAUAGAUCCAGGACUAGAAUUUCUAGGUUGUGGGGCAGCAUAUCCUUAACUUGUCUUAAGUAGUAUCAUAUUGCUCUCUAGAAUGGCUGCGGUACAUAAAAUUUCCUAUAUUCCCACAUCUUCACCGACAGCACCAUCUAAUUUUAAAAUUUUGUCAGUCUCUUAUAUGUAAAGCAGGUGUUCUCAAAGUAUGGUCCAGGACCCUGUGAAAGUCCUUGAGCCCCUUUUAGGGGGUCCGCAAGGUGAAAACUAUUUUCAUACUCAUAUUAAGACACUAUUCAGUCUUUUGAGUCUCAUUCUUGUAUGAGAGUAUAGUGGAGUUUUCCAGAGGCUACAUAAAAUGUGAUAUUUCAAUGGACUGAAUGCAGAGGCAGAUAUGAGAUCCCAUCUGUCUUUUAUUAAGCCAGAUAUUAUAGAGAUUUGUAAGACUGUAAAGCAGUGUUACUUUUCUCACUAAAUUUUUGGAAAAUAUAGUUAUUUUUCACGAAAAUAUUUAUGAUAAAAUGUAAUGGGCUUAUUAUUUUUAUUUAAAAAUGAAUGAAUAAAUAUUUAAAGAUUUUCAGCUUUAAUUUCUAACAUGGUAAAUAUAAAUUGAUAUAACUCACAUAUAUAAAAGCACUUUGGGGUCCCUGAUAUUUUUCUGAGUGCAAAGGCGUCCUGAGAUUAAAAUGUUUGAGAACUGUUGGUAUAAUUUUAAUUUGCAUUUCUCUUUAUAAUUCAUGAGUUGAAUAUCUCUUCAUAUGUGCAUUACUUUUUUGGGCUAACAAAUUAAUUUGAAGCUUAACAGCUUAAAACAACAAACAUUAUUAUCUCCCAGUUCCUGUAGGUCAGUAGUUUGAUAGCAGCUUAGAUGAGUUGUUCUGGCUCAGAGUUUCUCACAGGGUUAAAGUCAAAGAUUGGCUGGGGCUGUGGUUAUCUGAAGGCUUGACUGGGAUUGGAGGAUGCUGUGGCAGAAGACCUCACCGUGGCAGACGGCCUCACUCCCUCAGCACUUGAACCCUUCCAUAGGGCUGAUUGAGUGUUCUCACUGCGUGGCAGCUGGCUUCUCCUAGAAUAAGUAAUCUGUGAGAGAACAAAGGAGAGGUGUGAAUGCAUCAGACUGGUAGAAAAAUCCCAGAGCUUCUGCUGAAGGGUUUGGACUUGCCCUCUGUGAAGCUGAUGUGGAGGAUGCUGGAGAGAAAAGGCGUAGGAAACAAGAACUGUUAAUCUCUAGUGACUACAAUGUUGAAUCAAGCCAAAAAGAAAAUUGUCAUAUCAAUAUCAUACAUGCUAAGGGAUGGGAGAGGUAAUGACUGGUGAAUGAAUGUGACUGGUGAACUCACAAAAGGACAAUUUUAAUACAAAUCACAAUGAUUGUUGAGCCAAUCCCGUUACAAACAGUACAACUACCAGCAGGGAGCUGACUUGUUGAGGUAUGAUGACUUAGAAGUCUUUGGUCAGCAUGUAACCCUCAGCCAUGACAAAUACAAGCAAGAAGUAGAGCUGUGACACACCGUCCUCAAAAGAGAUGAUGUUCUUCUUUGAAACAAAGUUACUCAGUAUUUUAGAGAUAAUAAUAGAGCAGUUGCAGAGACCAACAAAUGAUGAAUUUCUGUGAAGUCAUACAUGGGACUGUGAAGCUGAGAAUUAAGAAAAUUAUAGCAGUCAAGACCAGGCUCCCCACUAUGGUGCUCCCUGGAAGAGGGGGAGCUGAAGCCCUGGCUGCCUUGUUGAGAAUGAAAUCUGUCACUGUGUAGUGAUUUUCUGCAACGAUUCUCUUCCAGAUAGGAGGCCUGUGGUAAGGCCUGGUAUGAGCAUCUUCCCCAACUGAACUGUUUUUACUCAUCUCACUACUGCUGUUGAUUGUUAGGAGUCAGACCAGCUGGGCAGCGUUUCAAAGACCAGCAUGGUUAGAAGAAAUGGGCAAGGCCUGGAGUAUUUACUGCCUACAACUUUUUCAUAUAGUUAGAAAUAAAAACUUUUGUGUUUCACUUC